UUGAAUCCCUUCCUCUCAAACUCUUUCUGCAACACCACCUAAACCCUAGCUGCCACCACCCAAUUCCAUAGUCCACCUCAAUCCCCACCUAAUCCAUGGUCUCCCAUGGCAUUUUGAGACAUGUAUUCGUCUCCUAUGUCUACUGGCAACAUAAUUUUUCAUGAUUCCAUGGAAAAAUAUCGACGAGAUCUAGUCCAGUCCUUGCUCGACUUCGAUCUUCGGUCUUUCUCCGGCCAUCCAUGGCUGUGCAAGCUAGAUCCUUGACUUUUCUGGCUAGAUCGGUAUUUUCUAAAGCCUUUCUCACUUUCUAUGGGUUCUUUGAAACCCUAGAUCUAAGAGUUGUUCGAUUUUUCUUUAAGAUGUCUUAGAUCUAUGCUUAUUACAAACUUCUUAGAUGUUUUCUCGAAGGUUUAGUGAUUUUCUUUCAAAAUGACUCUUUAUUUUUUCAACGAUUAGGGUUUCUCUUAAUUUCUUCUAAAGAUUUAUUCUCUUAUUUUCGUUUCCCUUUAUGAUUUUACUAUGUUCAACAACUUCUUUAUGCUUUCCUUCUACUUGAUUCAGCAUGUUGAAAACCAUAGGUCUUUUGGUCCUAUCCGAGUUCUGAAACUGUCCUUGUCUGUUUGAAUGUAUAUUUGUUUGAUUAAGUUCUUUGUUUUGACUCUCUUUUCAUUGUUUGAAUUAUCUAAUUCUGAGUUCUUAUCAUCUCUUAAGCUCGGUUACUAUUGAAGCCCUAAUUUCUUCAAAGGUUUUCCUCACUUGUUACUGUGAGACCUUUACUUAUUUCUGACUCUCUUUACUUGUUACUAUGCUUUCUUCACUUUUGAUUCUGUGUAACUACCUAACCUUCUUGACUACUGUGCUUCAAGUAUCUCUUUUACUACUGAAUCCUAGCUUAUUCAUGAUACUACUAUAUGCUUUUGUUGUUUGUUUUGCCAAUGUGUUUGGCCGUGCAUGUCUGAUGCUGCUGUUCAUUCUAUUUAUAUGUUGAGAUGCAGAAUCAUGAUCCUUUCUUGAUUGAUUCUGACUCCCUAAAUGCUACGAUUGAUUGCAAAAGGUUUUCUUCAGUUCUUCAGUUCUUACGAUUGAUUGAUUCUGACUCCCUCAAUGUUACAAUCAAUUUAAGUUGCUUCAGUUCCUCAUUCUUGCCUACUUAUUCUUAUGUUUCUGCAAUCAUACGUUACUAGCAUGCUAUAAUAUGUUCUGUUCCCCUUUUAAAUUGUUUCCCUAUAUGUUUACUCUGUAGGUUACUUGUUGUGUAGUUGCUGUCUUAUGAAGCCCAAACCCCCAUAUCCCCUCUUUGUGUUUGUGUUCCAUUGGCUAGUUUGUGGCCAUGCCAGCAUCAGCUAUUGCUGUGCAUGACCAAAUCAGACCCCUGCUGGGGUUGUGCAAUGCAUCCCCAUAAACUUCCAAUAUACUCUUAGAAUCUAGGUUCUUCCCUCUUGUGUGAGCUUUGCCUUAGGACUCUUGAGCUCCCUCUGAACUUGGACACAUAAGGGCUGGACUUUCCAUACUGCACUCAUUCUAUUUGGUUAUGCAAAUCUAGGUGUAAGCAUUACCCGGGAUCCCUUGAGGUCCUUAGGGAACUUUCACACAUCCAGAUAUGAGAAAGGCUUUGAAACAUUGGCAUUGAAGUGAUUAAUUACAUAACUUAGACAAUAAGUCAAGAUUAGGCUUCCUAAGGUUAUAGCUUCUUAUUUUUCUUUCAUUUCUUCAUUUUUAAUUUAAUCACACAGUUUGUAAUAACCUGUAAACAUUGUGGGGUUUGCUAGUGAAAAGGGCUGGGAAAUAUGCUUGUUUUAGCUAUUAAAAGGGUAGAUAACAUGCCUAUAAGGUCUAUUAAAAGCCUCAAAUAUGAUCUGUUAGAUAACAUGCCUAUAAGAUUUGUUAUUGCUUAAAAUAAAUUCUGCAUGCUUCACUUUCACACAAUUAGAGAUCAUAUCUAUAGGAUAUAAAUGGCUUUAAUAAUAGGUAACACGCCUAUAGGGUUAAAAAUCAGCUUUACAAUUAGGUAUCAUGCCUAUAGGAUAUAAAUCAAUUGAGAUUCAAUCUUCAUUACAUCCUGUAUCCAAACUCAUUUCCCUUAGAAAUCAUGCCUAUAAGUCCAAAGUCAGCUUUUAAUACUUAGAUACCAUGCCUAUAGGAUCUAAAUGGUUGCAACAAAAGUCAUGCCUAUAGAAUUUAAAAUCAGUCCCCGUUGGAGAAACCAUUUAGUUCACGUUGUUACUCUAAAUUGGACUAGUUAAUUAAUAUUCUGCUUCUUUGAUGAGUUUUUUCUAAACACCGCCUUGACCCAAAGUCCUAGCAACAUGUAUGCUCUGGUUAGAUGUCUACCUUCGGUCCCUUUAGCCUUUUGACAGUUUUCGACCCUUUAGAGAAAUUUUCCCUCUAGUUCUACUAUGCCUCGUUCUAAGUAUCCUAGCCUUUUGUAGGUAUAUAUAGCUAUGACUUUC
rnacentral:lncRNA from 1 species